rnacentral:rRNA from 1 species
AAGUGAAGCGAACUCGCGAGAGCAAGCGGACCACAUAAAGUCUGUCGUAGUCCGGAUUGGAGUCUGCAACUCGACUCCAUGAAGUCGGAAUCGCUAGUAAUCGUAGAUCAGAAUGCUACGGUGAAUACGUUCCCGGGCCUUGUACACACCGCCCGUCACACCAUGGGAGUGGGUUGCAAAAGAAGUAGGUAGCUUAACCUUCGGGAGGGCGCUUACCACUUUGUGAUUCAUGACUGGGGUGAAGUCGUAACAAGGUAACCGUAGGGGAACCU